rnacentral:misc_RNA from 1 species
AACGCAUAUUGCGCUCGAGGCCUCGGCCAAGAGCAUGUCUGCCUCAGCGUCGGGUUUCAACUCAAGCUCACCAUCCGAACUCCUCACCAUGGAGCCUCGUUUGGGCCCGCUUGGACUUGGCAGUUAUCUCGAGAUCCCUCGAGGCAUCUGCUCAAACGGUAUGUCGCUUCGUCUCUCUUCUAUGAGUCGCAGCCGAGUAGUCAACUCGUUUGAUUGCUCAUCAGUCUGUGGUGACUUAGUGGUGAGGGCAGAGUGAGGACGUCUCGGCGUCCUUGACUUUGUUAAGUUGUCGACGUGAUCAAGGAAACCCCACACAUUCUCGACCUGAGCUCAGGCAAGAUUACCCGCUGAACUUAA